rnacentral:sRNA from 1 species
GAAACGGUGAUCUUUGUUUUUUGAAAAUUUUGUAUAUGCGUUUGCAAACCAUUUGUGCUUCAGGAGUCGCUCACCAAGGCAUUGCAGGGCACGAGGGUACAAUUCGGACUCAGGAUAUGCAGAUUGAUUUGGACCUAGGGAUAACAACAUUACCACUGGCAAGAUAUAUCAGGUGCUUCUAACUCGAUUUUGACGUCCUUUGCGGUGUGUAUCAUUUCCUACUUCGAACUUGAUCUUACUUAUAGUUUUUAGUUUUUGAAAAAGAUGUAAAUGUAAUAACUGAGGUUUGUAAUACGGAGGGAGACACCGUCAGUUGGUGGAAUCAUUAACCCUGGUUCUGAGGGAUUUCAGAAGCUAUUUUUCGGUCAAAAGGAAAUCGCCAUACCAAUGCACUUAAAACAUCACGCACUGCACAGCCUACUGCUGAUGUCUUAAUCAACUUUGCUUCGUACAGAAGUGCUGCCGCUUCUUCCAUGGCUGCUCUCAAGCAACCAACCAUUAGAGUUGUGGCGGUCAUUGCUGAAGGUGUACCUGAGUCAGACACU